UCACCCGAGGUCUUGUUAAAAUACAGGUUCUGAUUCAAUAGGUCUGAGAUUCUGCAUUUCUAAUAAGCUCCAGGUGAUG
rnacentral:miRNA from 1 species